CAACAGUAAAGAGGCGACUCCGGGAUACUGGCCUUCUAGGCAGGGUUGCAAAGAAAAAGACAUAUCUCAGACUGGCCAAUAAAAAGAAAAGAUUAAGAUGCGCAAAAGAACACAGACACUGGACAGAGGAACUCUGCCUAGAAGGCCAGCAUCCCGGAGUCGCCUCUUCACUGUUGAAAUUGAGACUGGUGUUUUGCAGGUACUAUUUAAUUAAGCUGCCAGUUGAGGACUUGUGAGGUGGCGCUUCUCAAUGCAGGAUGUGGAAGAGGGGAGGGAAGCACACUCUGUAAACAGGAAUAGGUGAUUCACCGGUCACUGAGCUAGUAAGCUAAAGUUAGCUAGUUAGUCACAGAAAUGUACGUUCAGCCUGUUAAUUAUUUCAGUCCGAUUUGACUUAUCUUACAAAGUCAGCAUGGCUUAACAUAGUUUAUUUCGUUUUUGACCUCGACACUGUUGCUGGAAAUAUACUUUUAUAGCUAACAUGCUGGCGCUGCUAGCUAGCUAAUGCUAACGAUGCUAGCGAACCUCAUAUCUGGAUGCCUCACUAGUUCCUGAGAGAGUGCUGCAAAGUCAACUUUGCUUUCAAACGUUGUAAUCAUCUGUAAAGUUGUUUUACAUGUAAUCAUACAAGCUAGGUAGUUGUUUUGUUAAAAAAAGCCUGUUGUCAUUCAUUGGUUGUUUCUUUGGUGCUAAGCUACCACUAGCUAGCUAGGUAGAUAAUAAUGUGAUGUACAUUAGGCUACAGUAACGUUACAGUAUUACUGAACGACAGCAAUAUAGCCUUGUCGUUAUUCGUUUGGUCCCUUGACAAUAUUAUGUUAUUUUUUACUUGGUAAAAUAAGCUAAUGGUUGUGUGCAAUCUCACUAGAUAGAAUUGUGUGGUUUGGUGGCAGAUUUUCAAAAGAAUAGACAUACAGUAUAUCAUCAUCAAUUCUCAAUCAGAUGAGAUUCACAGCUAACCCAUAUUGAAUUUCAUUCAUUUAUAAAUGUGGACACAAAUGAUUGUUAAUAUUCCAAUUCUCUAGGCCCUCCAUUCCCAAACCUGAAGCCCCCUGUCCCCAGCAGGAAAGACCUGGAAAAAGUUUUGGCUUAAGUUACAAGCAAUCUAUCAAAUGUAUUUUAUAAAGCCCUUUUUACAUCAGCAGUUGUCAAAGUGCUUAUACAGAUACCCAGCCUAAAACCCCAAAGAGCAAGCAACGCAUACGUAGAAGCACAAUGUCUAGGAAAAACUCCCUAGAAAGGCAGAAACCUCUGAGGGUGGCCAGUCGUCUUCUGGCUGUGCUGGUGGAGAUUAUAGAAGUGUACAGCCAUUUAGGUCAGAUUAUUCUUCAAGACGUUUAAACGUUCAUAGAUGACCAGCAGUGUCAAAUAAUAGAGGGUGCAAUAGUUCAGCACCUCAGGAGUAAAUGCCAGUUGGCUCUUCAUAGCUGAGCAUUUAGAGGUUGAGACAGUAGGUCCGGUAGAGAGAGACAGGAUCAAACAGCAGGUCUUUGACAAGGUAGUACCUCCGGUGAGCCUUGAGCAGGUCGGGGUUCCAUAGCUGCAGACAGAAACAGCAGAGACUGGAUCAGCAGAAUGAUCAGGUGGACUGGAGACAGGGACAGCCAGGAGUCAUCAGGCCAGAUCUGCCAAUCUGCUCGGUGGAGUGUUCCAGGCCUGGAGUGGCAUGCUGGAACUUCCAGAGUCUUGUAGAGCUGAAGCAGUGUGAUGUGGUCCAGAGGGAUGAGGACUGAGGAGCCCUGUGAGCAGCCAGUCAAGCCCCCAGGUCUUGCCCCAGCCCAAGACCAGCGCCGGGCCCAGCCCCGGUCCACUCAGCUUUACCUUGCUCUGCGGAGGGGGAACAGCCAGAGAGAGAGAGAGAGAGAGAGAGAGAAAGAAAAAGAAAAUGACCUGAGCCCUAGGACCAUGCCUCAGGACUUCCUGGCAUGAUGACUCCUUGCUGUCCCCAGUCCACCUGGCCAUGCUGCUGCUCCAGUUUCAACUGUUCUGCCUGCGGCUAUGGAACCCUGACCUGUUCACCGGACGUGCUACCUGUCCCAGACCUGCUGUUUUCAACUCUCUAGAGACAGCAGGAGCGGUUGAGAUACUCUCAAUGAUCGGCUAUGAAAAGCCAACUGACAUUUACUCUUGAGGUGCUGACUUGUUGUACCCUCGACAACUACUGUGAC
rnacentral:lncRNA from 1 species